rnacentral:lncRNA from 1 species
UUCAGUUCUUCAUGCAUUUCAUACAUGACUACUCAAUAUGUUGUUUAUGAUGAUUCAAGUAUAUGAAGACAAGAACAGAGCCUGCUGAAAUAGGAAAUGCCUGGUCAGGGAAGAUACAUCAGAGGAUAAAAGCCCAGAAGAGAAGAAUCUGUAUGCAGAGGAUUCCAAGACCCAAGGUCAUGGCAGAGCACAAGAUGGAAAGAGUCUGUAUCCAGAUCAUUCAAGAAGAAAGCCAUGAGCUUCUCUGAUGGCUCAGUGGUAAAUAAUCUACCUGCCAAUGCAGGAGACAUGGGUUCCAUCCCUGGCCCAGGAAGAUCCCAUAUGCCGCAGAGCAACGAAGCCCAUGUGCCACGACUAUCAAGCCUGUGCCCUAGAGCCUGUGCUCCACAACAAGAGAAACCCCCACAGUGAGAAGCCCGUGAGCCACAAUGAAGAGUAGCCCCCACUUGCCACAACUAUGCAAAAGCCUGUGCAGCAAUGAAGACCCAGCAUAG